AUUGAACGCUGGCGGCAGGCCUAACACAUGCAAGUCGAGCGAGCGGCGGACGGGUGCGUAAUGUCUGGGAAACUGCCUGAUGGAGGGGGAUAACUACUGGAAACGGUCGCUAAUCCCGCAUACCAUCAGCUUUGCCCAGGUGGGAUUAGCUAGUAGGUGGGGUAACGGCUCACCUAGGCGACGAUCCCUAGCUGGUCUGAGAGGAUGACCAGCCACACUGGAACUGAGACACGGCCCAGACUCCUACGGGAGGCAGCAGUGGGGAAUAUUGGACAAUGGGCGCAAGUCUGAUGCAGCCAUGCCGCGUGAGUGAAGAAGGCUUUCGGGUUGUAAAGCACUGUUGGCGGGGAGGCGGUACCCGCAGAAGAAGCAACGGCUAACUCCGUGCCAGCAGCCGCGGUAAUUC
rnacentral:rRNA from 1 species